AACGUAGGGGGCAAGCGUUGUCCGGAAUUAUUGGGCGUAAAGGGCGCGCAGGCGGUCCAUUAAGUCAGGUGUGAAAUACUGGGGCUCAACCCCAGGGGUGCAUCUGAAACUGGUGGUACUUGAGAGCAGGAGAGGAGAGUGGAAUUCCCGGUGUAGCGGUGGAAUGCGUAGAGAUCGGGAGGAACACCAGUGGCGAAGGCGACUCUCUGGCCUGAAACUGACGCUGAGGCGCGAAAGCGUGGGGAGCAAACAGG
rnacentral:misc_RNA from 1 species